rnacentral:rRNA from 1 species
GGGGGGGGGGGGGGGGGUGGGGUGGAGGGGCGGGGCGGACGGCAGUGCGGGGUUGGGCCUGGCGGCGAGUGGCGAACGGGUUAGUAAUACAUCGGAACGUGCCCGGUAGUGGGGGCUAGCUCGGCGAAAGCCGGAUUCAGACCGCAUACGGCCUGAGGGUGAACGCGGGGUAUCUUCGGACCUCGCGCUAUUGGAGCGGCCGAUGGCAGAGUAGCUAGUUGGUGGGGUAAAGGCCUACCAAGGCGACGAUCUGUAGCUGGUCUGAGAGGACGACCUGCCACACUGGGACUGAGACACGGCCCAGACUACUACGGGAGGCAGCAGUGGGGAAGUUUGGACAAUGGGCGAAAGCCUGAUCCAGCAAUGCCGCGUGUGUGAUGAAGGCCUUCGGGUUGUAAAGCACUUUUGGCGGGAACGAAAAGGACUGUGCCAAUACCACGGUUCGAGGACGGUACCCGCAGAAUAAGCACCGGCUAACUACGUG